rnacentral:rRNA from 1 species
GACGAACGCUGGCGGCGUGCUUAACACAUGCAAGUCGAACGGAAAGGCCCUGCUUUUGUGGGGUGCUCGAGUGGCGAACGGGUGAGUAACACGUGAGUAACCUGCCCUUGACUUUGGGAUAACUUCAGGAAACUGGGGCUAAUCCCGGAUAGGAGCUCCUGCUGCAUGGUGGGGGUUGGAAAGUUUCGGCGGUUGGGGAUGGACUCGCGGCUUAUCAGCUUGUUGGGGGGGUAGUGGCUUACCAAGGCUUUGACGGGUAGCCGGCCUGCGCGGGUGACCGGCCACAUUGGGACUGAGAUACGGCCCAGACUCCUACGGGAGGCAGCAGUGGGGAAUAUUGCACAAUGGGCGGAAGCCUGAUGCAGCAACGCCGCGUGCGGGAUGACGGCCUUCGGGUUGUAAACCGCUUUCGCCUGUGACGAAGCGUGAGUGACGGUAAUGGGUAAAGAAGCACCGGCUAACUACGUG